rnacentral:rRNA from 1 species
UACAGAGGGGGCAAGCGUUGUUCGGAAUUACUGGGCGUAAAGGGCGCGUAGGCGGCCUUCUAAGUCGGACGUGAAAUCCCUCGGCUCAACCGGGGAACUGCGUCCGAUACUGGAGGGCUUGAAUCCGGGAGAGGGAUGUGGAAUUCCAGGUGUAGCGGUGAAAUGCGUAGAUAUCUGGAGGAACACCGGUGGCGAAGGCGGCAUCCUGGACCGGCAUUGACGCUGAGGCGCGAAAGCCAGGGGAGCAAACGGG